rnacentral:sRNA from 1 species
GCUAGGCACUCUGGCAUAUGCCUGUAAUCCCAGCUGCUAGGGAGGCUGAGGCAGGAGGUUCACGAGUUCACAUGGAAAGUAAAGUUUACAAAGCCAGUCUCAGCAAAAGCGAGGCACUAAGCAACUCAGUGAGACCCUGUCUCUA